rnacentral:lncRNA from 1 species
GCAGCUGUCCUGGUUAAGGAAUAAGCAAAAAUUCAACGACCGAUCUAUUACAUAAGUCGAGUAUUGAGAGACGCCGAAAUCAGGUACACUAAAUUAGAGAAACUAACUUACGCCCUGUUAAUUGCAGCCCGAAGGCUCCGAUCUUACUUUCAAAGGCACACCAUAACACUGCUCACCGACCAGUCGAUUAAGGCAGUUCUGCAUCGAACGGAUGCUUCCAGAAGGAUAGCGAAAUGGAU